rnacentral:ncRNA from 1 species
CCUGCCGGCCACUCCACUUGAUGGCCGACCGGGACGAAACAAAGGAGGAACCACCCGCCGGAAGCUCCCGGUGCGGCAGUGUGGAGACCUGCCGUAAAGCGCGGGGAAUUUUGCUUUCCCCGGUGCGAGAAAGGCGCUGCAAAGGCAGCCCGAUCAGAGCAAUGCAAAUGGCA